rnacentral:tRNA from 1 species
GCCUGUAGCUCAGUUGGUUAGAGCAGUGGACUCAUAAUCCAUUGGUCGCAGGUUCGAGUCCUGCCGGGCC